rnacentral:lncRNA from 1 species
GCCAUUGCUGCUGUGGUCUUGGUGUUACCUCAGAGCAGGAGCCCUGCAAGGAAGAAAUGGGAGGAGCAGGGGAAUGAGGCCCCUGUGUGUGCACGUCAGAAGACUUUGCACAGAAAAGCAAAAAGGAUGUUAAAAGCAAAAAGGAUGUUAAAAGCAAAAGGUGCUGCUUGGAGCCAUGUGCACUGAAAAUGAAGCAGACACAGAUUCCUGUGCAUGGCAGGCUGAGGAUUCCAGGGUCCCAAGAGAUACUAUCAAAAGGUGUGGUGCCCUGAUUGGAGUCUAGCGAGAAAGUAACACUCUUAUUCACCCUCCCACCCAGCCACCCACCUUUGCAGAUGGGCUGAGGGUCUCUCCUUUGCUUCAUGACUGAAAGUCCUUGAUUCACCCUCACCCAGCACUAAUUGUGUUGCUGCCUCCUGGAAGUUCCCAUGUUGGCAUCAGAGUGUUGAGCCUAGAACUCACUGCUAAGGUUAAUUGCAAAGUAAGAGCAUGAUUUCUUGAUGUCUGUUUUAUAUUCAGUUAGUUAGUACUCGAUAUCAUUUCCUUGUGAUUUUUUAAAUGAUCAUUAAAAUGUUCCUAAUUGCUGUUACCCUGUCAUGCUCUUAUUUCUCAGCAGCUGUUUGCAUGCAGCCUUCCCAUUAAGCUAGAAAUCAGCCC